CCGCACAGCAUACCUCGAGGGUCGGCGGCUAGGCAACACACCGGUCAGUUAAUGGCCGCCCGCCGGCCAGUUCCGGCCGCUCCUGACCGGCGCGUGGAGGUUGGUUUGUAGAAACGCCGACAGGAUUUCACUUGUGAUUUUCAAGUCAGGACAUACACAAGGACGACACCAUGAAGUUGUCCGGAGUGUUGCUCGCUACGCUCGUGUGUGCACUGCUAGUGCUACCGGGACUGUAUGGAGAGGGAUACGGAGAGGGCUAUGGACAGGGAUAUGGGCAGGGAUAUGGGUACGGGUACGGGCAAGACUACAUUCCAGUACCCUUACCCGUUCCCCGCGGUGGCGGCGGUCUGAGCGGCUUUCUACCCCUCAUCGGCCUGCUAGUCUUGCUAGGCUUGCUAUUUAACGGUAACAACCGGGGUAGUAUCAAUCUCGUCAACACGACACUUGGAUAAAUUAUAACGAGCGUGGCUGUCUGGUUGUCAUGGUCUUCGCGCUCUAUGUCUCGAGUUUGCUGGUCAGGGCUACAGUGUGUGCAUUUCAUGUAUAGUUGUAUGCGUC